rnacentral:rRNA from 1 species
GAUGAGCGCUAGCGACAGGCUUAACACAUGCAAGUCGAGGGGCAGCGGGGGUAGCAAUACCAGCCGGCGACCGGCGCACGGGUGAGUAACGCGUAUGAAACUUACCUAUCAGAGGGGGAUAACCAGGCGAAAGUCGGACUAAUACCGCAUGAAGCAGGGGCCCCGCAUGGGGAUAUUUGCUAAAGAUUCAUCGCUGAUAGAUAGGCAUGCGUUCCAUUCGGUCGGUGGCGGGGUAACGGGCCACCAAACCGACGAUCGGUAUGGGUUCUCAGAGGAAGGUCCCCCACAUUGGUACUGAGACACGGACCAAACUCCUACGGGAGGCAGCAGUGAGGAAUAUUGGGCAAUGGGCGCGAGCCUUAACCAGCCAAGUCGCGUGAGGGAUGAAGGUUCUAUGGAUCUUAAACCUCUUUUAUAAGGGAAUAAAGUGCGGGACGUGUCCUGUUUUGUAUGUACCUUAUGAAUAAGGAUCGGCUAACUCCGUGCCAGCCGCCGCAGUAA